rnacentral:rRNA from 1 species
UACGGAGGAGGCAAGCGUUAUCCGGAAUUAUUGGGCGUAAAGCGUCCGCAGGUGGCGAUUCAAGUCUGCGGUUAAAGACUGGGGCUUAACCCUGGAAAGGCCGUGGAAACUGAAACGCUAGAGUGCAGUAGGGGUAGAGGGAAUUCCCGGUGUAGCGGUGAAAUGCGUAGAGCUCGGGAAGAACAUCGGUGGCGAAAGCGCUCUGCUAGGACAAUACUGACACUGAGGGACGAAAGCUAGGGGAGCGAAUGGG